GAUCAUGGCUCAGAUUGAACGCUGGCGGCAUGCCUUACACAUGCAAGUCGAACGGCAGGCGGGCCUUCGGGUGCCGGCGAGUGGCGAACGGGUGAGUAAUGCAUCGGAACGUGCCAUUGAGUGGGGAUAACGUAGCGAAAGUUACGCUAAUACCGCAUAUUCUGUGAGCAGGAAAGCAGGGGACCGCAAGGCCUUGCGCUCUUUGAGCGGCCGAUGUCAGAUUAGCUAGUUGGUGAGGUAAAGGCUUACCAAGGCGACGAUCUGUAGCGGGUCUGAGAGGAUGAUCCGCCACACUGGAACUGAGACACGGUCCAGACUCCUACGGGAGGCAGCAGUGGGGAAUUUUGGACAAUGGGCGCAAGCCUGAUCCAGCCAUGCCGCGUGAGUGAAGAAGGCCUUCGGGUUGUAAAGCUCUUUCGGCCGGGAAGAAAUCGCAUGGGUUAAUACCCUGUGUGGAUGACGGUACCGGAAUAAGAAGCACCGGCUAACUACGUG
rnacentral:rRNA from 1 species